CAGUAAAAGGCAGUUUAACACAAGUCCAAGAGAGUGCAAUCUGCAGCAAGGCUACUUGAACCCAAAUUUGGAAUGACCCUGUGUGCUGGAAUAUCUGUGCUGGACUCCUGGAUUUGCACAAAGAAUCUCUUGUCUUUGUUCAUCAAUGUUCUUUAGUGGGAAGAUGGUAGGAAACUCGGUUCUGCCAUGAUGAUGACAUCACUCUUCAUUACUAAAAGAGAUUAAAGCUAAGGCCUGGAAAACUUUGAGAACCAAUUGACUAACUACAGGAGAGAAGUGUAUGUUACCAGAAGUUAAACAAUUAGUGGAAGCCUUGACUAGGAUGCUCCCACCUGAGGCAUAAGAGUACAGGAAAUUUCCUUAUUAAAAAAAAAUGGAUUUUGUUUAUAUUUUCAUUGGGCAUAAAUUUACCACCAUUUCAAAAAUGAAUAACUUUUCAAUGUCUGGUUGGCUUUAGUUCUCUUAGAGUCUUUUCUGUGUUGGUUACAUUUCUAAGCACUCAAUAUUACUAUUAAUAAAAGUAGUUGACUCCUAUUGAAUGUUCACUAUGUACUACGUAUUUUGCUAAGCAAUUUUCAAGACUUUUUCACAGCCCAGACUCCUGAACAGAAACUCAAGCAUGUGUUUCAGCCUAUUGGACAUCUUAGCUUGGUUAUUUUUAAGGCCUCUUAUUAUCUUUAACUCCAAACUUUUUCUUCUUCUGUGUUUUCUGGGUUAGUAAAUUUCAUCCUUAUCCAUUUAGCUCCUCAAUCUUGGAUCUAGACAUUA